UUCCAGCUCCAAUAGCGUAUAUUAAAGUUGUUGCAGUUAAAAAGCUCGUAGUUGAAUUUCGGGACCAAUAUGUCGGUCGUACUUUGUACGUACUAGCAUUAUUGGUUUCUCCCUUCUGAAGAAUCGCGAUGUCAUUAAUUUGGUGUCGUGGGGAAUCAGGACUGUUACUUUGAAAAAAUUAGAGUGUUUAAAGCAGGCUCGCGCUUGAAUACAUUAGCAUGGAAUAAUGAAAUAGGACGUUUGAUUCUAUUUUGUUGGUUUCUAGGAUCGACGUAAUGAUUAAUAGGGAUAGUUGGGGGCAUUAGUAUUCAAUUGUCAGAGGUGAAAUUCUUGGAUUUAUUGAAGACUAACUACUGCGAAAGCAUUUGCCAAGGAUGUUUUCAUUAAUCAAGAACGAAAGUUAGGGGAUCGAAGACGAUCAGAUACCGUCGUAGUCUUAACCAUAAACUAUGCCGACUAGGGAUCGG
rnacentral:rRNA from 1 species